UUCAUUCCCCGAGAGGAACAAAGGA
rnacentral:piRNA from 1 species